GAUCAGGCAGAACGUCAGGGCGGCCAGGCCCAGGCCAUAUGGUGCAUCCGAGGUCCUCCUUUGUAAUCCUGGGUAAUUGAAAUCCUCUUCCUCAUUCGGACGUGGAAAGCCUUCCUCGGUGAAGAAAAAGGAAACCAUCAAUCACGGAGGAUCAACUAGGCUGGACCAGACCCAUGCCCUGUCCAAAAUAAGAUGCAGUGUCCCCACUGUCCCCAUUUUACUGAGGCACAGACUGAGGCUCAGAAAGGCUCCUGCCAGGUCACCCAGCUGGAGCACCACUGGUGUCCUCUGGAGCCCCCACACCACGCUGUUCGUAAUGACGACUACUGCAUUGGCACGUCUCGUUGGGGUUCAACUUCUGUCCCUGCAGCUCCUGAGCUGCGUGACAUGGGCAGGGGACAUCAACUUUCUGAGCCCGAGUUGCCUCUUCUGGAAAGCGGGAGUCAUGCCGUCUUGCUCGCAGGGUGGUGGUCCCAGGGCUUGUGGCUGUGCCCUGCCCCUCUUGGGAACAGCGGGGGCCCAGGAACCUCUCUGCAGCACGGCUACCACCCAACCUCACCCGGCCACGAGCGAGGAUCCAGGAGAGGACGCGGGCCCUGGCAGAGCUGAUCAGUAUCCUUCGCUCUUAACUGGUGGAUGUGCUAGAAGGGGAGGUGACGGCUGCAGGCAGCCCCUCGCGUGGUAAAGAGAAUGAAGACAGCACAUUCAGAGAUGUCAGGGGAGGGGAGAGAGAAGGGUGUCUGAGUGUCGCCUCCCUGCUCCCAGGAGGCCCUUGUGUCUGCUUCCUGCCUGUCUUAUCUGGAUUUAUUUUUGUCAUCCACUAACUCCUCCAUUUUACUUCUGUUCAUUCAUUUGAAUUCUGUUUCUUUUUUCUUUUCUUUCCCCCUUUUUUUGCAAGUAAAAGAG
ensembl:lncRNA